rnacentral:rRNA from 1 species
UACAGAGGGUGCGAGCGUUGUUCGGAAUUAUUGGGCGUAAAGGGCGCGUAGGCGGUGCGGUAAGUCACCUGUGAAAUCUCCUGGCUCAACUGGGAGCUUGCAGGCGAAACUGCCGUGCUGGAGUGUGGGAGAGGUGCGUGGAAUUCCUGGUGUAGCGGUGAAAUGCGUAGAUAUCGAGAGGAACACCAGUGGCGAAGGCGAGUCUCUGGACGACUCCUGACACUGAGGCACGAAAGCUAGGGGAGCAAACAGG